rnacentral:rRNA from 1 species
GGUGACAGGUGGUGCAUGGUUGUCGUCAGCUCGUGUCGUGAGAUGUUGGGUUAAGUCCCGCAACGAGCGCAACCCCUAUCUUUAGUAGCCAGCAGGUUAAGCUGGGCACUCUGGAGAAACUGCCAGGGAUAACCUGGAGGAAGGUGGGGAUGACGUCAAAUCAUCAUGCCCCUUAUGACCAGGGCUACACACGUGCUACAAUGGCGUAAACAAAGAGAAGCGAACUCGCGAGGGUAAGCAAAUCUCAAAAAUAACGUCUCAGUUCGGAUUGUAGUCUGCAACUCGACUACAUGAAGCUGGAAUCGCUAGUAAUCGCAAAUCAAAAUGCUGCGGUGAAUACGUUCCCGGGUCUUGUACACCCGGAAAAA